GUCCUCGAUUCUUGGCGCUCUGAUGUUAGCAUUCAUCAGAAGUGUAUGCAUAAUCGGAGGUAGAGUAGGUUGUGCCAAGUGGCGCAGCAGUCGAAUCACCUUCGGUGUCAAGCUUGAUUUAUUGUUUGAUAUCAUCCUCUGGAUUCGAAACACUU
rfam:Onchocerca volvulus assembly O_volvulus_Cameroon_v3 genomic scaffold, OVOC_OM1a